GAGUUUGAAUAUGGCUCAGGAUGAACGCUGGCUACAGGCUUAACACAUGCAAGUCGCGGGGCAGCAUGGGGAUUUGCUUGCAAUCUCUGAUGGCGACCGGCGCACGGGUGAGUAACACGUAUCCGACCUGCCUAUUACCACGGUAUAACCCGAUGAAAGUCGGCCUAAUCCCGUAUGUAGUCUUCCAAUGGCAUCAGCAGUAGACGAAAGGUUUAGCGGUAAUGGAUGGGGAUGCGUCCGAUUAGCUAGUCGGUGAGGUAACGGCUCACCGAGGCUACGAUCGGUAGGGGUUCUGAGAGGAAGGUCCCCCACACUGGAACUGAGACACGGUCCAGACUCCUACGGGAGGCAGCAGUGAGGAAUAUUGGUCAAUGGGCGAGAGCCUGAACCAGCCAAGUAGCGUGCAGGAUGACGGCCUUAUGGGUUGUAAACUGCUUUUAUGCGAGGAUAAAGGUACCCACGUGUGGGUGUUUGCAGGUAUCGCAUGAAUAAGGACCGGCUAAUUCCGUGCCAGCAGCCGCGGUAAUACGGAAGGUUCUGGCGUUAUCCGGAUUUAUUGGGUUUAAAGGGAGCGUAGGCUGUUUUUUAAGCGUGUUGUGAAAUGUACCGGCUCAACCGGUGAUGUGCAGCGCGAACUGGAAGACUUGAGUGUGUUGUAAGUAGGCGGAAUUCGUGGUGUAGCGGUGAAAUGCUUAGAUAUCACGAGGAACUCCGAUUGCGUAGGCAGCUUACUGUCUCACUACUGACGCUGAUGCUCGAAAGCGCGGGUAUCGAACAGGAUUAGAUACCCUGGUAGUCCGCGCGGUAAACGAUGGAUGCUCGUUGUUGGUAUUUUAUAUAUCAGUGACUUAGCGAAAGCGUUAAGCAUCCCACCUGGGGAGUACGCCGGCAACGGUGAAACUCAAAGGAAUUGACGGGGGCCCGCACAAGCGGAGGAACAUGUGGUUUAAUUCGAUGAUACGCGAGGAACCUUACCCGGGCUUGAACUGCCGGCGAACGAUUCAGAGAUGAUGAGGCCUUUCGGGGCGCCGGUGGAGGUGCUGCAUGGUUGUCGUCAGCUCGUGCCGUGAGGUGUCGGCUUAAGUGCCAUAACGAGCGCAACCCCUUUUUAUAGUUGCCAUCGGGUAAUGCCGGGCACUCUGUAGAUACUGCCACCGUAAGGUGUGAGGAAGGUGGGGAUGACGUCAAAUCAGCACGGCCCUUACGUCCGGGGCUACACACGUGUUACAAUGGCGCAUACAGAGAGUUGGUUGUAUGUAAAUACGGUCUAAUCUUGAAAGUGCGUCUCAGUUCGGACUGGGGUCUGCAACCCGACCCCACGAAGCUGGAUUCGCUAGUAAUCGCGCAUCAGCCAUGGCGCGGUGAAUACGUUCCCGGGCCUUGUACACACCGCCCGUC
rnacentral:rRNA from 1 species